rnacentral:lncRNA from 1 species
GGUUCAAUUGUUUCCUGAAAAGUGAGACAUCUUUCUCAUGCACCAUAUCCUUUGUUUCCAAGCCUUUUUGUUCAAAAUCCCCCCCCCCCCACUCACAUCUUACUAAUAGACCCCAUCCCAUGUGAAUAUGUUAUCUCUCUUCCCCUUCCUAUAUUUUUUCACUACUCCUUCACCAUUUGAACGUUACUCUUCUCUUUAUGUCGAAUUACUAUCCCUCUCCAUUUAGGGUUUACUGCACCCAACAUCCUCAAAUUGUUGCCUGCAAUAAUUUAUUUGGUCUUUAAAUCAUGAUCCUAAUCUUAUACCCAUUCAUGUGGUUUAUGGGUAUAUGAUGGUGUUGACCAUGUAAAUAUAGUUUGAUGCACAAACUAUCCUCACCAUAUCAACCUUAUGUGAUUUUCUUUUUUUAAAAUAUUUGCUUAAUUGAUGGCUUAACAAACACUACAGGAUUCCUUGGUACAUCCAACAAAGAUAUUGAUUGAAGAGAAGCUCCCCACGUUGGGUUGAAAACCGGAGGUUGUUGAGAUGGCAGGCAUAUCCAUAUUUGACUCGGUCUAAAACAAACCAUGAGGUUAUGUUGGGUAAUCUUUUGCCUUGGUGGGAUUGUUUUUCAAACACAAUAUACUGUAGCAAGUACCAAUAAGAAAUGGAAUUUUCCCCAGGCCAUCUUUAAUGUGAUCUAAUCGAGAUAUUCAUAUAAGAUCCAUUAGUUAAAUCAGAUUUUAAUGGCGGUGGUGGUGGUGGCGAGAUCCGAUGCUCUUUAAUUUAUUGUCCAUCUUGUGGCCAAUUCUUAAUAUCAUUUUUAGUGUUAAACAACCGAAGCAGGCCAGAGAAAAAGACCAACGUCAAGCUGACUUGUCACUUUUAAUUAACUAUCCUUGAGGUCAAAGGUUUCAAGAAAUAGAAUCGUGGUCUGAUUUUAGGUCAAAUUAUGGUUUUAGUCCUUCUGUUACAUUCAUAUUUGAAAUUUAGUCUUGAAAAAUAUCCCCUUACCCCUAAGGUUAGAUGAAAACUAACCCUAACCCCU